ensembl:lncRNA
GGAAAACAGGAGGGCUGAAAUGACUCAGAUGAGUUUCUACCUCUUCAGUGGAAUGGGAGCUCAAAUUGUUAUUAAACUAAUUUUGUGGGCUGGAUUCAUGCUGCUGAACCAGUGUGCCCGUCGGCUGGGUCACCUUCCUGCUGGAAUGAGGCAGAGCUGGAGAGAGAAGGCAGAGAGGAUGGGCGCGGGGAAACGGAAGCGCAGCCUUUCUGCAGUACUUUUUGCUGUGCAUCGCAGUCUGCUCACAGCCAGGGUGGAGAGGAGGUGCAGGCCUGGAGGUUUGUCCUCUUGAGCAAAGCCUGAACUUUAACGGGAAUUGAGGCCGUCCCUGGAUGUCUCAAGCGAAGCUGUCCUCGUCCUGCUCAACUCCCCCUGACUUUUGAGCUCACCACCUCUACACUGCUUUUGGUGGAGCCACCAAAAAUGUCGUUCAACUUCUUGAAUGUCUAGACUGAGCCUUUUCAUUUGGUUUCCUCAGGACUUACCAUGAUGCCGGCAUAUUGUACCUGAAUGGCCGUAUUCCAUGUAUUUCCAUGAUUGGAUCAAGGAGGCCAAUUGCAGUAGCCUUUCAUAAAUAGGAAAUGCAGCCGGAAUUCAUUCAAAGAGGUGGAAGAUGGUAGAAUCUACUUCUUGCCUCCUGAACUUGCCUUCUUGUCUCUUUGGCUUUAGAAAUACCCCGAACACUUAGGACCAUAGGGGUCCACAGCAGCCUCCCAACCACAGCCUAGACAUGAUGCCAGGCCUUGAGACACUGUGGUUGAAUAAGGUGCUCAUGGAACAUCCAGUCUACCGGGGCAAACUGUCCCAUAGCCAGAUAACCACAAUUCAGUGCGAUCUGAAAACCUCGAGGUGAUGGAGGGCUGCGUCUCCCAGUUCCAUAGGAAUCCUACUUCGUAUCUAGAGAGCCAUUCACUUCUUCUGCGUGCAGACUGAUGAAUGCAAAAUGUAAGGGGACCAGCUAGAGAAGGAUUCCUGAUGAAAAACCUGUGAUGACUUCGGAAAGAAUAAGGAAGAAGAUGAAGCUCUGAAUGAGAGGCCUCUCAAACGUGUAAUUUUCUUACACUGAGCCCUUGGACUCUGUCCAGCUUCUCCAAACAGGCAGAUCCACACGCUUCUGGCCCCUUGCAACCAAAGGACCGCCUUUGACUAUGACUCCACCUUCCAUGAAAGACUCUUAUUAAGCAGCAGAGUUUCAGAAGUCUUUACACCAUGCAGAAGUGAGUGAAGACCAACAGGUAAAUGAAGACAGAGCCUCUUCCUUCUCCACACACCUUUUCCAGUGUGAGAAACAAUCAACCAUGAGGCAUUUUACAUCAGAAUCCUGCCUCACAAAAGAUGUUUAUGACAAAAAUGAGAAAGCCUGAAGAACCACAGCCAUCAGAGUGCUCAGUCUUCAAGAAGCCAUGUGCUUGGGCACCUCACAAACAACAGGCUUGAUAUCUCAAGAGACAGGCACAUGGAGCUGAAACAUCUAAUGUGAACCCUGGAGAGUCACUUUUCCUUUAAUAUAUUUCUGAGGGUGGGGAUGAUGAGUGUGGAAUAAUGGACACAAAGCUGAAAACAGACAAAUUACUUGAGAAGCUUUGCCAUGUUCAGCCUUGAAACUACAAUUUCCUUGAAUAUGGGCACGUAGCUUGGAGUUGCCUGCAUUAGGCCCUGUUUUGAGUUUCAAUCAUGGUCUUCUUCAUGUCCUAGCUGGUGUCCCCUCACAUGGCUAGCAACUUGCUGAUGUGGUCAUCUCUGAUGUCUGGGUAUUUGCUGACCAGAGUUGCGACAUCCGUGUAGAGCAGACAGGUAGAGCUUCCAGGUCUGUUAGCUCAAUAACUUCUGCAAUGGUGACAAUAGUGUCACAAUACCCAUCUAUAUCAUCACCAAAGUCAGAAGACGGAUUCUGGAACAGGAAUAGGGGCUACUAGGCGUCACUAACCAUCCUCU